GGGGAAUAUUGGGCAAUGGACGCAAGUCUGACCCAGCAACGCCGCGUGAAGGAAGAAGGCGUUCGGGGUGUAAACUUCUAUUACGCUGGAAGAGCAGAAGACGGUACAUCUUGAAUAAGCCACGGCUAACUACGUGCCAGCAGCCGCGGUAAUACGUAGGUGGCAAGCGUUGUCCGGAUUUACUGGGGGUAAAGGGCGUGCAGCCGGGUCUGCAAGUCAGAUGUGAAAUCCGUGGGCUUAACCCACGAACUGCAUUUGAAACUGUAGAUCUUGAGUAUCGGAGAGGUAAUCGGAAUUCCUUGUGUAGCGGUGAAAUGCGUAGAUAUAAGGAAGAACAGCAGUGGCGAAGGCGGAUUACUGGACGACAACUGACGGUGAGGCGCGAAAGCGUGGGGAGCAAACA
rnacentral:rRNA from 1 species